UUUCCGUAGGUGAACCUGCGGAAGGAUCAUUAUUGGAUUUUGAAACUUCAGGCUGCUGCUGGCUCUCCUCGGAGGGCAUGUGCACGCUUGUUGUCCAUUAUUUCUCCCACUGUGCACAAAUUGUAGACCUUUCAGUAGGCCUAUGUUGUUUUUCACAAUCUCUGAAUGUAAUAGAAUGGUUUUGAAUCUUGGGAAAUACAAUACAACUUUCAGCAACGGAUCUCUUGGCUCUCGCAUCAUGAAGAACGCAGC
rnacentral:misc_RNA from 1 species